rnacentral:rRNA from 1 species
GGAAGCAGGGGAUCGUAAGACCUUGUGCUUUUGGAGUGGCCGAUGCCUGAUUAGCUAGUUGGUAGGGUAAUGGCCUACCAAGGCGACGAUCAGUAGUUGGUCUGAGAGGACGACCAGCCACACUGGGACUGAGACACGGCCCAGACUCCUACGGGAGGCAGCAGUGGGGAAUUUUGGACAAUGGGCGCAAGCCUGAUCCAGCAAUGCCGCGUGAGUGAAGAAGGCCUUCGGGUUGUAAAGCUCUUUCAGUCGAGAAGAAAAGGUUGUGACUAAUAAUUGCAACUCAUGACGGUAUCGACAGAAGAAGCACCGGCUAACUACGUGCCAGCAGCCGCGGUAAUACGUAGGGUGCGAGCGUUAAUCGGAAUUACUGGGCGUAAAGGGUGCGCAGGCGGCUUUGUAAGUCAGAUGUGAAAUCCCCGGGCUUAACCUGGGAAUUGCGUUUGAAACUACAAAGCUAGA